rnacentral:rRNA from 1 species
UCGGGAAUUUUGGGCAAUGGGGGAAACCCUGACCCAGCAACGCCGCGUGAAGGAUGAAGUAUUUCGGUAUGUAAACUUCGAAAGAAUAGGAAGAAUAAAUGACGGUACUAUUUAUAAGGUCCGGCUAACUACGUGCCAGCAGCCGCGGUAAUGCGUAGGGACCAAGCGUUGUUCGGAUUUACUGGGCGUAAAGGGCGCGUAGGCGGCAUGACAAGUCACUUGUGAAAUCUCUGGGCUUAACCCAGAACGGCCAAGUGAUACUGUCGCGCUAGAGUGCAGAAGGGGCAAUCGGAAUUCUUGGUGUAGCGGUGAAAUGCGUAGAUAUCAAGAGGAACACCUGAGGUGAAGACGGGUUGCUGGGCUGACACUGACGCUGAGGCGCGAAAGCCAGGGGAGCAAACGGGAUUAGAUACCCAAGUAGUCCCUGAGCGGGCUGGCAAGGCGCAU